rnacentral:rRNA from 1 species
UACGAAGGGGGCGAGCGUUGUUCGGAAUCACUGGGCGUAAAGCGCACGUAGGCGGAUUGUUAAGUCAGGGGUGAAAUCCUGGAGCUCAACUCCAGAACUGCCUUUGAUACUGGCGAUCUCGAGUCCGGGAGAGGUGAGUGGAACUGCGAGUGUAGAGGUGAAAUUCGUAGAUAUUCGCAAGAACACCAGUGGCGAAGGCGGCUCACUGGCCCGGUACUGACGCUGAGGUGCGUAAGCGUGGGGAGCAAACAGG